GACGAACGCUGGCGGCGUGCUUAACACAUGCAAGUCGAACGGAAAGGCCCUGCUUUUGUGGGGUGCUCGAGUGGCGAACGGGUGAGUAACACGUGAGUAACCUGCCCUUGACUUUGGGAUAACUUCAGGAAACUGGGGCUAAUACCGGAUAGGAGCUCCUGCUGCAUGGUGGGGGUUGGAAAGUUUCGGCGGUUGGGGAUGGACUCGCGGCUUAUCAGCUUGUUGGUGGGGUAGUGGCUUACCAAGGCUUUGACGGGUAGCCGGCCUGAGAGGGUGACCGGCCACAUGGGGACUGAGAUAGGGCCCAGACUCCUACGGGAGGCAGCAGUGGGGAAUAUUGCACAAUGGGCGGAAGCCUGAUGCAGCAAAGCCGCGUGCGGGAUGACGGCGGUCGGGUGGUAAACCGCGUUAGCCUGUGACGAAGCGUGAGUGACGGUAAUGGGUAAAGAAGCACCGGCUAACUACGUG
rnacentral:rRNA from 1 species